rnacentral:tRNA from 2 species
GCCCGCUUAGCUCAAUUGGCAGAGCGCCACCUUCGUAAGGUGGAGGUUAUGCGUUCGAUUCGCAUAGCGGGCA